AGACGGAACAGCUCCGGCUUUUCAAACACACAAGCAGACUUUGUGAGACUGGUAGUUUUGAGGAAUACAUUUUGGACUACGCUGACUUAAAAACAUGUACAAUUAACAUAGCUUUCUGGUUAUGGCAUUCAAGUUACCAGAUCAGGAUGAUACAUGAAAAAAAUAUGCAGAUAAGGCAUGGUUUGCCCAAACAUGUCAUCAGAAACUGACUUCCUAAAGGGGCAUCACAGAAACAUUAUGUUUGCUGUUGGGAUAUCAGGAGAGAAAAGCGAUAUGAAUGUGUCGAGUGCUGCAGCAGUGUGCCCUGUCUGUGGGGAGUUUGCCAUGAGGAAACAAGCCAGCUGAGGAGGUGUAUCUUCCUUCCUAUAUACUAGUGAGUGAACUUUUAAUUUAGCUGUGUUUAACAUCAUUUAGUUAAGAUUUUGAUAAUGCCACUGGCUUGAAUCUAAGUUAUAUCAUAGAAAUAUUUGUGUGAAGGGACCCCUAGAUUAACUCCCACCUUCCACUCAAAGCAGGACUGUCACCAACACUGGAUCAGGUCUGCUGUGAUUUUACCUCACCAAAUCUUGGGUGUCCCCCUCUGAGCAACCUCUUCCCAUACUGCAGUAUCCUCCCAGUGAAGAAGUUCUUCCUAAUGUCCAGUCUGAACCUCCCAGGCUACAAUGUGUGGCCACUGCCCUUUACUAUACCAUCUGUCUCUACCGAAAAGUGCGUUGGCCCCAUCUUCUUUCCAACUCCAGUUCAAGCAGUUGCAGCCUGCUAUUAGCUCACCCCUUAGCCUCCUCUGCACCAGACUGAAAAGCCACAGGCUCCUCUGUCACCUGAAGCAUGUGCUCUAUGUCCCUGACCAUCCCAGCAGCCCUCUGCUACCUUCCCUUCCCAUUUCUGAACCUCCUCUUGACCUGGGGGCCCAAAGCCAGACACAGUAUUCCAGGCCUGACGUUACUGGUGCUGAGACAAGAAUAAUGAGUUUCCUCAAUCUGCUGGCCACCCUUCUUCGAAAGUAGGCCAAUGUGCAGUUUGCCCCAUUUGCAGUGAGCAUACCGUUGGCUCAUAUUUGACCUGAUGUCCACCGUAACCUCCAGGUCCUCUCCAGGAGGGCUGCUGCUCAGCCAGACAGUUCCCAGCCUUAUUCUGCCCAAGAUGUGGGACUUUGUACAUCUUGUUAAACUUGAUGGGAUUUCUGCUGGCUGGAUCCCAAGUUCCUGAAGAUCCCUCCACAAAAGUCAUCAGUGAAGAGGCUAAACAGUAUCAGCCCUGGUGUUGACCUUGGAGUAUUCUGCUUCCUUCCAGCCACCAAACAGAUGUCGAGACAUUGAUGGCUAUCUUUCAGUCUGGAAUCUCUCUGAGUGAGCUUUCUGACUGUGACACAUGAACUGAAGGAAGAGCUGGUUUUCUGUUUGGUACCUUAACUGGUAACGUAUUCUUAAAGUGUUUCAGCAGAUGGUAGCGGGCUACAUAGUGUGCAAUAGUAGCAAAGCCAAAACAUUGUUUAAAUUUAGUAGAAUUCUGUAAAUAGGCUUCUAAAAAAUCACAUUAAACAAGAAAUGGUUCUUACCGUGUAGACUUUCUACAUUUUUCAAUACCUAAUCUAGCAUUUUAGAGUAUACAAAAGUUCUUUUGCAAUUAAAAAAAUUAACAUUUGGCUUUUGUUCUGCAUUGGAAUCAAACUAACCUCUCACCAUUCCCGGGAGCAGGAGGGAGAGUCCUCCACACCAGGACAGCCAGGGGACCUCUGCGGCACACCAGUCAUCCACGUCCCAUCCCUGCUUCAGCUCAGGGCCCGAUCUCCUAAACCUCAGGUGCAUCUCCCAACUGCUGUGUUAUUGGCUUUCCUGGGACAGGUGGAUGGCACUGUCUCUCUGCAGUCCCCUACAUUUUCAAAGUUUAACAUUGUUAACAGAUCUCUGUCUCUGCAAAACACUGUUUUUAGCAAAACAUCACAUGACCACAAAGAUAUCUUCCUGAUUUGUUUUUUGAAAUCUGCAUUAUAACAAGGAAAAAAGGUAUGUGAUUCCUUAAACCCAAAAGAGACAUCCAACAGAAAAAAACAAACUCAAUUCUAAAAUGACUAUUUCAGUGAUGACUUGUAAUCUGUGUGGUUUCAUCUACUUGAUAAUACCCAGCUUAGUGUUAGAUCUAAAAAAAGAAUGAAAUGAGAAAAUCAUUCCUUUGAUAUGCAUUAAAUUAUUCAGUUAGUAAAUUAGUGAAUCUUAUUCUGAAUGUUAUUAGCUAUUAGCAUGUUACACUUCUUGAUGUUGCUCAUGAAGAAUGCAUAUGAAAAUGAGGAAAAGAUUUUCCUUUUGAAGUUGCUGCCACUUGAGUUGUUGACAUUUCUUUUAAUUGGUGGCUGUCCUCUUGAAUGCGGUAUUCUGCUGUCUGUUUUUAUGAGAGAUUCUUCAUUUUUAAUUUGUUCUCUCAUUGAUUAGACUUUUUUUUGAAUGGGUAACUCUCAAAAUAAUUAGCCUUUCAGGGGAACCAUGUUCUCCUAAAUAGUUAUUAAUGAGUAUCUCCCCCAUUCAGUUUACUUAGGCCUUUUCAUUAGGAGAAUUUCAAGCUUACAUCUGGCCUGGUUGCACUGUGGCUGGUACCACUGAAGACAGCAGGAAUCUCACUGCAGAUUUCAGGAAGAACAAGAUCAGACCCUAGGAGUGAAGAAAGAUCAUUUGCAUUCUGAGGAAGAUGUCUGUUUUCUAGGAGAACCUACAAAUGUUUCUUCAGGCUCCAGGGUAGGAUUCAGGAGGGAGUGAAAUGAGUGAAGGAAAACAAGCCAGUGCACUCACGGUUCAUAUCAGCCACCUCGGGUCCGCUGAUGUUAGGAAGGUGGCCACGGCUCCCUGCGGGAGCUCCCAUGGAGCGUGUGGCUCUCCUGUCCUCGCGGUUGGGCUGGAGUCAGCAUCCAGGAGCGCCUUUUGUGUCUCCUUCCCCACUCCCUGGGAGGAAGCCAGCCACCUUCUGGGCAAGAGGCUCUGGGAUGCCGCACUGGGAUGCUGGCAGAGUUAACUUCUGCUCAGGAUAGAGGAGAGAAAGCUACCAGGACUGAUACACUUCCAUGUCCACUGAAGGGAACAAUGAAAAAAAGGUUUAUUUCUGCAAGAAUGUUCUAGACAACUUUUUCAACAAAGGAUGUGCUGCAGAAGAUGUUGUUCAGGAGCUAUUUCAUCAGCCCACUAGGAUACAGGGUGAGGAUAUCUGCAUCCAGUUGAGCUGUGCUGAAACCACUUUUAAUUCCUGCCCUUUAUACCUUUCCUCCCAUGCCUGAAAUGUCUUUGGAUGGUAAUGGCAGUCCACCGCUGGUGAACGUUCUGCCCACCAUUCUGUGCUUUAGGAGCCCCUUCUGCAUCACCCACCUGCACUUAGGGCUGGAGCUCGGGGCACACAGUAGCUCAUCGCCUGCAAAGUACUUGUGAGAGGACAGUGAACAGCUAAUAUGUUGGUGGACCAACUUCAACAAUUUCACUACAAAAGAGCUUUAAUUCUGACUAUAAUCUGAAUAUAGGCAGAUUUCUCAGCCUGCUUCAGUCUACUAACUGCAGAUACACGUGUAGGUUGUUUGAUCCAGGUUAAAAAAAAACACCAUUGCCCUUUGCCUUUACCCUCCCCAUAUGCAAUUUUGGAAAGUUUGCCUAGAAGGGGUAACAAAAUGUUCAGCUGCUGCAGGUCCUCCCAAGCCUACCAGCUUUUUUGCUUUUGUUUAAUUUGCUAUGUGAUUAACUCCACUGUGUUUCUGCCUGGCAGAAUCUGUGACUAAAAAUGCCCUAUGAGUAUACGUAGUAUGCUGCAACACUGGUGGAAAGUAAAUAAGACCAUAGUCUUCAUAAUCACUGUUUUUCCAAAGAACUACUGCUCCCAGCAGAGAGGCUAUUUUAGGCUGUAAAUGGAAAUCAGAAAAUGAGAUUUUCUUUCCCUGCUAGUUCUUCUCCUGGGAAUUUUAGUGCUUUCCUCUGUGUACCUACUUUGGGUGUUAGUGGCAGCAUAUUGAUAAUACCAGUCUCUUGGAGGAUUGAUCACUGGAGCCUAUUCUGAAAUACACCAGUGAACAUUGGAAAUAAUUUCCACUAGUACCAACAUAUUAUUUGUUGAUACAAAAUUGAGCAUUAGAUCAAAACCAGAUCUGGAUAGCCUGAUUUACUCCAUGAUUGAGGUGACAGUUCACUCAAAAUUCAGGCUUGCAAAAUAAGUAAAGAUAUUUCCUAGCUACCUGCACUUUCUGUUCUAAUAUUGGUAAUAUAUUUGCAUCUCUCAAUUUUGCAGACUGUCUUUUACCUCCUGUUUGAUGAUCUAAGUCCAGUCACGAAUGUAGACACUCUUGAUUUGUAGUCCUGUCGAUACCAGUGAUGUCUGGCCUUGCCUCCAGUUUAUAGCACAGACACUAUCAUCUAAAUCAUAUGUAUCAUACGGAUCUAAUGCAAGAUCUUUGCAUGGUCUUUAAAUCUGAGAAGUUCUAAUUAUCAUUCUUAAUACUUCAUGUAUUAUGCAUUUUUGUCUGGAAAAAGCUUUGUGUUACUAGGAAUUCAAAAGAUUAGGUUUUGCUACAGCAACAUGGAAAUCUGAGAACUUGAGAACAAAUCAUAAUCUUUAGCAUUAGCUGCCCCAAAUGGCAUUGAGAAGGAUUUUCUGUGCUAGGAAAUACCCUAAUUAUUUCAUGGCAUGACUACUGCUCUGAUAUUAUGCCUGUAUCCCCACCAUUUGAUUAAAUACUACUCACAAGCAUCCUUUGACCUGCUGAGUAGCCGGUAAUUUAUUUAACUGUAGUAUUACUGAGAAGUGCUCUCUUUCUGCCUAUAUAAAUAAAAAAACUUUUAACCUUGCAAAAACAUUAAUCAUGCUAUUUUCAUCACUGAGGGAGAAGGAGUGGGCUUUUUUGGGAGCAAACCUAUUGAGUGGAAGAUAUCUUAGUCAACAAGGGUCAGCUUUGGCACUGAGAGCAGAUGAAAGAUUUUCAGAGAAUAUGUGAAAAAAACAGCAGCUUUAAAAAACAUUUUCCGUUGUACCCAGACAUCACAUGUGAUAAUCCAGACAACACAAAUUGUUGUCAUAAUCAUGAUCUGUCAUUCUCAUAGUCUUCCACUUUGCUUUGUCAUUUACAGCAUUCAUGUGCUUGACUUUAAGCAGCCUGAUGCUGUUUACCGGUUGCUUGGUUUGACCUUAAAAAUAUCAUUAAAAUUGCAAAAACAUUUAGAAAGUUGGAAAACUAUUAUCCAGGAAAAAUUCUCAGAGCACAAUGGAAGAUGUGAAGUGACUGAACUCUUCGAUUUACUCUGAAAAGGUCCUGUCCCCCUCUGCCUCUCCUUGCACACCACCAACUGCAAGUGCCCUUGCUAACGCUGCUUCCUCUGUACUUUUUCAUGGCAGGCUCUCUUCCCUUUACAUGAUUUAUUCAGGCAUCUUCAUCCUCAUCCUCGUCUAGCCCUCUUUCUGAAACAGCACGAGACCCAGCUACUACCUAUUGCCCACCUUCUUGCUCUGUUACCAAAUCCAGACUUUCUUUUUUACCAUUAAUCGUAGUUGCUUAUCUGGACAUGUUUUACCUCUGUCCUUCACGCCUUUAAUCCCACGGUCUUCUAUGUAAAGCCCCUCAUCCCAGAACUCCCUUCUUGAACCACUAUGGCUCCUCAAAAUUAGAAGAGCAGUAGUGAGCAGAUGAGACAGCUAGUUAGAAACACAGCACACACCAUAAUGUGGUUAGCCAUAACCAGAUCUAUUGUUAAUUUUGUAGCCUUUUCUCCAGAGACCCCUUUGUCUUUUCAGGUACUGAGCAGCUGGAAGCAGGGAGUGUUUUUCUUCCCUUUGCUCAGCAUCUCACACCGUAGAGGACAUUAUGGUUGUGGUCCCAGGGAUGUCUAAGGCCCCGUACUUUCAUUUUCCAAGUCCUUAUCUCCUAUGCUGCAGACUUACCAUCUUUGCCUUCCUCGUUCGUAGCCCUUCAGCCUCCAGUUCCUCAGCUUUCCCUGUGUCAUUCCCCAGCCGGAGCCUGGUCAGGAUAGAUGGGACUACUCCAAUGUUUACUACUUGAUUACUGUUGCUCAGCCACAUCCCACAGUCCAGUUAUCUCACUGAUGAGAUACUAAGCAAAUAGGCAUACCCGCUGGUGCCUCAGAGUGCUCUAACGUAAUACUCAGAAGAUUAGUUAUCCUGGAAAUUUAACACACACAAUAUCACAUAAUGUACAUAGGGGGUUUUUUCCCCCAUAAAAGGGGUCAUUUAAGUCCUGAAAAGAAGAGCUGAAAACCAAAGCACAGGACUCCAUAAAUAGAUCAAAUUGCUUCUAAAGUAACACUAUCUUUUUUCUCCAACUCUGAAAAAUCCAUCAGAGGAAAGAGGAGUGGGGAAUAACAUCCCUGCUCUUGUCAAUUCUGUUAUAAUUCCUACUGAAAUAAAGGGAUAGUAGAAGAGAGAGUCACAAAAGAAAAUAGGAAAGAAUCCUUUGUCUAGAAAAAAUGAACAGUUUAAUUGAUCCAAAAGGCUUAUUCUUACUGGUGAAAAUUAUAUGAGAAAAAGAAAAAGCAGAAUUUGAGAAAAACAGAUCUAUGGGAAGCUACCAAAUUCAAGAAUGAGGAGUUUAAUUUUCAUAUAAAUGCCAAAUAUAAAAGAGCUUCUCUGGUGGUAAAGCACAAUCAACAGGUUGGGGCUUUGCAAAAUCAAGCAGUGGCCUUUUGUGGCAUCUGUUACCAUUAAUACUAGAAGAAUAAAAGAUACAAUAUUCCAUAAAGGGAUUUCCAAGAGUUUUUUAAGUGGAAGUGGUGCAGUUUUUUACAGAUUCACAGAACACAUUUGCUUUCGUUUACUGUAUUCUCAGCCCAUAUAAGAACACUCUUAAGCAGAGAUGUUUUUUUCUCAACCUAAGCAGACAAUUGUUUGCAAUGGGAAGAGGAAAUUAAAUAGCUUGAUAGGUUGCCAUUCCUCCCUCCAUCUGGUCAGUAGAUUUAAUCUUUACUUACAUUAUAUAGGCGUGAGCAAAGAAUUCAUAUUCCAUGAAAUAAGGGUAUACCUUACAUGAAACUGAAGCUCAGCUGAGCACAUCUUAAAGGAGCAUGACUUGUAGGAGAACACAGGCUCAAAAAAUCUUAAAAACUGACACAUCAGGUUGAGCACCCUAAAACUGUGUCAUCCAAACCCCAGUAAUUGGUUGGGAACAGUUAGGCUGAUGUUUAGUGCUUUUGUUGCAUGUUCUUAUGGUGCUACUGACUGCAAUGUGAUCACAAGCACGUGAGCUUUGACUACCACACAGCUAUUAGCCAGUGGCAUCCCAACAUACAAUAAAGCCUGCUAUUCCAAAAAACACUGAAAUUUUUCAAAAUUAUCCCUAAAGAGAGGCACUUGCAUGUCCAUACCUGUAUUUACAACAUGCUUCAGGUGUUUUAUUUUAUUGAAGAUCCUAUGGGCUAUUAAGGAGAAUGUGUAUCAGAAAAACACUUUUUCUCUGAAUAGAAAUCAAGAUCAGUAGGCAGAAGCAGCUCACUACUUAAAUAGGGCUCAAAUACAAAUGACAAGUGUGGGCUAAUCCCAUCUGUCAUGUCUUCUACUAUAGUUGUUCUAGUUGAACACGGAAUACUAUAUUUUUGCUACUUAUGCUUACUACAUGUUGCCCCAUAUAAGGGGGUCCCAUUGUGCCAGGCACUGUGCAGGCACAAAGGAAUAGGUAAUCCUUGUCCUGAACAUCUUCAACUCUAAAUAAUGUAUCUUCAUCUCCUGCUUGCUUAGCCUUCCACUAGAGGUUAUUUUUCACCACUAACCUAUCGAGUAAUAAAAAGGCUCUGAAGAAAGCUGUAUCUUUGGUUUAAAUAAUCAGCUACAUUGACUUGGAUAUUCUGAGAGCCCCCACUAAUCCCAGCCUUCCCAGCAGUUUAUAAAAUAAAAUAAAAUAAAAUAAAAUAAAAUAAAAUAAAAUAUGUAUCAGCCUAACUCACUGUCAGUUUUAUGACCGAGCUCCUCUGCCCCAUUUACUGCUCACCACUUUGGACCUGACCUGCUGCUGCUCUGUCCUGGUAGGUUUGCGCUCAAGGCAAUGGCAAGAUAGCAGUUUAUUUCAGCUGAGAAUUUGACGCCAGGCUAUUUUGGGAACGAGUGAAACUUGUCCUCCAUAAUUACUUUAUAAUCCGUGAAGAGUGCUUUCUAGAGCAGUUUGGUACAACACAAAAUCAUGCUUUAAAUAUUCUGGGCUUAUACUGUGUAACAGCAAGAAAGGACGAUGACCUGGAGAGUGUAGGAUGUUCACUUGAGAGUCCACAAAAAUACUAUGGCUGUGAUGUAACAGACAGAUAAUAGUUUAACCAGGCCCGAAGUUGCUAGCAGGGGACCAAGGAAAUCAAUAAAGCAAAUGGGAAAGCUGGACAGUUGGUGAUGUCUCAGCUCCUCUAUAAUGCCACAUGGACUUUUCGUUUAUUAGGAAAAUAGAUGUACUUUAAUGAAUGAAAUAUCAAGCUGUGAUUAUGUCUUCUAUGUUGCAGAAAGAAGAUGAAUAUAUUAUUUAUUGAGA